rnacentral:rRNA from 1 species
GAUGAACGCUAGCUACAGGCUUAACACAUGCAAGUCGCGGGGCAGCAUGGGGGUUGCUUGCAAUCCCCGAUGGCGACCGGCGCACGGGUGAGUAACGCGUAUCCAACCUGCCCUUCACCACGGGAUAACCCGGCGAAAGUCGGACUAAUACCGUAUGUUGUCCAUUGACGGCAUCCGAUUUGGACGAAAGGUUUGGCGGUGAAGGAUGGGGAUGCGUCCGAUUAGCUGGACGGCGGGGUGACGGCCCACCGUGGCGACGAUCGGUAGGGGUUCUGAGAGGAAGGUCCCCCACACUGGAACUGAGACACGGUCCAGACUCCUACGGGAGGCAGCAGUGAGGAGUAUUGGUCAAUGGGCGUAAGCCUGAACCAGCCAAGUAGCGUGCAGGAUGACGGCCCUAUGGGUUGUAAACUGCUUUUAUGCGGGGAUAAAGUGGCCCACGUGUGGGUUUUUGCAGGUACCGCAUGAAUAAGGACCGGCUAAUUCCGUG